rnacentral:rRNA from 1 species
GACGAACGCUGGCGGCGUGCCUAAUACAUGCAAGUCGAACGCAGUGGGGACGGGUGAGUAACACGUGGGUAACCUCCCAUCAGAGGGGAUAACACUUGGAAAAAGGUGCUAAACCGAUACCGAUGGAUGGACCCGCGGUGCAUCAGCUAGUUGGUGAGGUAAGGGAUCACCAAGGCCACGAUGCAUAGGCGAGCUGAGCGUGUAAUCGGCCCCACGGGGACUGAGAGGAGGCCCAGAAGCCUACGAGACGCGACGUUAGGGAAUCUUCGGCAAGUGACGAAAGUCUGACCGAGCACCGCCGCGUGAGUGAAGAUGGUUUUGGGAUCGUAAGACUCUGUUGUGUGAGAAGCGGUAUCUAACCAGAAAGCGACGGCUAACUACGUGCCAGCAGGCGCGGUAAUAC